rnacentral:rRNA from 1 species
UACGUAGGGUGCAAGCGUUAUCCGGAAUUAUUGGGCGUAAAGAGCUCGUAGGCGGUUUGUCGCGUCUGCUGUGAAAACUGGGGGCUCAACCCCCAGCCUGCAGUGGGUACGGGCAGACUAGAGUGCGGUAGGGGGAGAUUGGAAUUCCUGGUGUAGCGGUGGAAUGCGCAGAUAUCAGGAGGAACACCGAUGGCGAAGGCAGAUCUCUGGGCCGUAACUGACGCUGAGGAGCGAAAGCAUGGGGAGCGAACAGG